AGUGGAUGGGGAGCAACCUAGUUGUGCGUGUGUAAAGGUAGUGCCAAGAAAAGCGAUGAUCAUGUUGAAAAUCAAUUCCCGGUACCCGAAACCGACACAGGUGGGCAAGUAGAGAAUACUAAGGGGCGCGAGGUAACUCUCUCCAAGGAACUCGGCAAAAUGACCCCGUAACUUAGGGAGAAGGGGUGCCACCGAGAGGUGGUCGCAGUGAAGAGGCCCAGGCGACUGUUUAGCAAAAACAUAGGUCUCUGCAAACUCGAAAGAGGAGGUAUAGGGGCUGACGCCUGCCCAGUGCCGGAAGGUUAAAGAAGUUGGUCAGUUUUAGGAUGAAGCUAGCGACUGAAGCCCCGGUGAACGGCGGCCGUAACUAUAACGGUCCUAAGGUAGCGAAAUUCCUUGUCGGGUAAGUUCCGACCCGCACGAAAGGCGUAACGAUCUGGGCGCUGUCUCGGAGAGAGGCUCGGCGAAAUAGGAUUGUCUGUGAAGAUACGGACUACCUGCAUUUGGACAGAAAGACCCUAUGAAGCUUUACUAUAGCUUGGAAUUGUGUUCGGGCUUCCUGUGCGCAGGAUAGGUGGGAGGCGUAGAAGGUAUUCUUGUGGGGAUACUGGAGCCGACGGUGAGAUACCACUCUCAGGAGGCUAGAAUUCUAACUUAAUUAAGGACAGUUUCAGGUGGGUAGUUUGACUGGGGCGGUCGCCUCCAAAAAGGUAACGGAGGCGUACAAAGGUUCCCUCAGACUGGUUGGAAAUCAGUCGAAGAGUGCAAAGGCAGAAGGGAGCUUGACUGCGAGAAGUACAGUUCGAGCAGGGUGGAAACACGGUCUUAGUGAUCCGACGGUGCUGUGUGGAAGGGCCGUCGCUCAACGGAUAAAAGUUACUCUAGGAUAACAGGCUGAUCUCCCCCAAGAGUUCACAUCGACGGGGAGGUUUGGCACCUCGAUGUCGGCUCAUCGCAACCUGGGGCGGAAGUACGUCCCAAGGGUUGGGCUGUUCGCCCAUUAAAGCGGUACGUGAGCUGGGUUCAGAACGUCGUGAGACAGUUCGGUCCAUAUCCGAUGUAGGCGUGAGAAUAUUGAGAGGAGCCUUCCUUAGUACGAGAGGACCGGGAAGGAUGCACCGCUGGUGUACCUGUUAUGAUGCCAAUUGUAAACGCAGGGUAGCCAAGUGCGGAGAGGAUAACCGCUGAAAGCAUCUAAGUGGGAAGCCCACCUCAAGAUGAGUAUUCUGGUGUAAGGUCACGGGAAGACGACCCGUAAAUAGGCACGAGGUGGAAGUGCAGAGAUGUAUGAAGCCGAAGUGUACUAAUAGACCGUCGGCUUGAUC
rnacentral:rRNA from 1 species